AAGAACAGGAACAAAGAAAAAGUCUGCUUCCUCUCCAUUCAAUGUCCGAUGGGGGCUAGCUAACAUACUUUCAUAGAUUGCCAUCUGUGCACCAUACAGCUGGUCAGUCCAUACCGUAGCAUUCCUCUGAUCAUAGAUUCUGUUUAUGCAUUCUAGUUUAAAAUGACGUCCCUCCAGAAGAAGACUGUUGAAGUCUGGGGGCAAGUCAUAAACAUAUAAAAGGGGCCUUUUCUUCUCCACAAUAGCAUCUAAAUUGACAAGAUUUCCUUUGCUGUUCACAUUCUCGGGGACAGUAACCUGCGCUGGUCGUAGCCAGAGAGGCCACUCUCUAAUGGAUGACAAAACGGAGGGUACACUGCAAUCUGUUCCAAACCAACCACUGUCACACUGACAAAAUCCACCGCGACACAACCCGUGGCCGGAGCAUUGAUUUAUACAAGUGCUUAGUACAGACACCUCGCAGAAUCGACCCCAAAGACCAUCAUACUUGCAAUCACACUCUUCCUUGAAAAGCACCUUGGAGGCAUAUGCUUCUUCUGGAUCCACAUUACACCAUCCUCUUUUGCUACCGUUUGUUGUAAAGACAUCAAGAUCAGCUUUUGUGAAGUCAGUCACAGGAGCACCACCAGGUUUGGAUGGAGGAUUGAUUGUAAAGCCACAUGUCUCAGCAAGAGGACGAUUUGGGUAUUUUGUGCCGUCCCCACAAAAGCACAUUGCUCUAGUUGUGUCACAAUAAGCAGGACAAAUUGAGACAACCCAAUGCCCAAAAGGUUUCUCCUUUGAUCUAGGGUAGUUGCAACUCAACUCCUGCCUCUCAGCACAUUCUUCACCAGUGAAACCAUGAAAGCAUCGGCAUUGACCCAAUUCGCGAUUGCAGAUGCCUUGACCGCUGCAAUCAUUCCUGCAGCUCUUUCCACCAAUUUGCUCAAUGACUUUAACAGCAGAAGUAACUGAAUCACAACCAGCUAACCACUGACCAACCUCAUUCUUCCACGGAGCACCACGAUAUACGACACCAUUGUGUAAAUCAACAGCAAAUUUGGUUUGAUUUGAUAUAAUAUUGUUGUGGGUUGACUUAGUAGAAUUGAUAGGUAUACAAGAGUUCUGAUACUGCCUAAAGUAAUCAAAGGAAGGAACAAAAGGGUAGAAGAACAAAUGAACAACUGAAACCAAUGUCACUAUUAAAACAAUUAUUGUCACAGUAGACCAUGAAAACAUGCGUUUCUGAUUAAACAACAUCAUUUUCUCUUCAAAUCUUUAUAUUUAACCAUAUACCAAACCAAGAGUACCAAACCAAUUCGAGAAUUUUAAGCAACAAGCAUGUUCAAAUAAGCAGUUUGG
rnacentral:misc_RNA from 1 species